CUGACGGAGCAACGCCGCGUGAGUGAUGAAGGUCUUCGGAUCGUAAAACUCUGUUGUUAGGGAAGAACAAGUAUCGUUCGAAUAGGGCGGUACCUUGACGGUACCUAACCAGAAAGCCACGGCUAACUACGUGCCAGCAGCCGCGGUAAUA
rnacentral:rRNA from 1 species